rnacentral:rRNA from 1 species
UACGAAGGGUGCAAGCGUUACUCGGAAUUACUGGGCGUAAAGCGUGCGUAGGUGGUUUGUUAAGUCUGAUGUGAAAGCCCUGGGCUCAACCUGGGAAUUGCAUUGGAUACUGGCAGGCUAGAGUGCGGUAGAGGAUGGCGGAAUUCCCGGUGUAGCAGUGAAAUGCGUAGAGAUCGGGAGGAACAUCUGUGGCGAAGGCGGCCAUCUGGACCAGCACUGACACUGAGGCACGAAAGCGUGGGGAGCAAA